ACGCUGGCGGCGUGCCUAAUACAUGCAAGUCGAGCGAACAGAUAAGGAGCUUGCUCCUUUGAAGUUAGCGGCGGACGGGUGAGUAACACGUGGGUAACCUACCUAUAAGACUGGGAUAACUUCGAGAAACCGGAGCUAAUACCGGAUAACAUUUAGAACCGCAUGGUUCUAAAGUGAGAGAUGGUUUUGCUAUCACUUAUAGAUGGACCCGCGCCGUAUUAGCUAGUUGGUAAGGUAACGGCUUACCAAGGCGACGAUACGUAGCCGACCUGAGAGGGUGAUCGGCCACACUGGAACUGAGACACGGUCCAGACUCCUACGGGAGGCAGCAGUAGGGAAUCUUCCGCAAUGGGCGAAAGCCUGACGGAGCAACGCCGCGUGAGUGAUGAAGGGUUUCGGCUCGUAAAACUCUGUUAUUAGGGAAGAACAAAUGUGUAAGUAACUGUGCACAUCUUGACGGUACCUAAUCAGAAAGCCACGGCUAACUACGUGCCAGCAGCCGCGGUAAUACGUAGGUGGCAAGCGUUAUCCGGAAUUAUUGGGCGUAAAGCGCGCGUAGGCGGUUUCUUAAGUCUGAUGUGAAAGCCCACGGCUCAACCGUGGAGGGUCAUUGGAAACUGGGAAACUUGAGUGCAGAAGAGGAAAGUGGAAUUCCAUGUGUAGCGGUGAAAUGCGCAGAGAUAUGGAGGAACACCAGUGGCGAAGGCGACUUUCUGGUCUGUAACUGACGCUGAUGUGCGAAAGCGUGGGGAUCAAACAGGAUUAGAUACCCUGGUAGUCC
rnacentral:rRNA from 1 species